CCUACCAUGCAGUCGAGCGGUAGCACAGAGAAGCUUGCUUCUUGGGUGACGAGCGGCGGACGGGUGAGUAAUGCAUAGGAAUCUGCCCGAUAGUGGGGGAUAACCUGGGGAAACCCAGGCUAAUACCGCAUACGUCCUACGGGAGAAAGGGGGCUCCGGCUCCCGCUAUUGGAUGAGCCUAUGUCGGAUUAGCUAGUUGGUGAGGUAAAGGCUCACCAAGGCAACGAUCCGUAGCUGGUCUGAGAGGAUGAUCAGCCACAUCGGGACUGAGACACGGCCCGAACUCCUACGGGAGGCAGCAGUGGGGAAUAUUGGACAAUGGGCGCAAGCCUGAUCCAGCCAUGCCGCGUGUGUGAAGAAGGCCUUCGGGUUGUAAAGCACUUUCAGCGAGGAAGAACGCCUAGUGGUUAAUACCCAUUAGGAAAGACAUCACUCGCAGAAGAAGCACCGGCUAACUCCGUGCCAGCAGCCGCGGUAAUACGGAGGGUGCGAGCGUUAAUCGGAAUUACUGGGCGUAAAGCGCGCGUAGGUGGCUUGAUAAGCCGGUUGUGAAAGCCCCGGGCUCAACCUGGGAACGGCAUCCGGAACUGUCAAGCUAGAGUGCAGGAGAGGAAGGUAGAAUUCCCGGUGUAGCGGUGAAAUGCGUAGAGAUCGGGAGGAAUACCAGUGGCGAAGGCGGCCUUCUGGACUGACACUGACACUGAGGUGCGAAAGCGUGGGUAGCAAACAGGAUUAGAUACCCUGGUAGUCCACGCCGUAAACGAUGUCGACCAGCCGUUGGGUGCCUAGCGCACUUUGUGGCGAAGUUAACGCGAUAAGUCGACCGCCUGGGGAGUACGGCCGCAAGGUUAAAACUCAAAUGAAUUGAC
rnacentral:rRNA from 2 species